GUGUGAAGCUUUUGUAGGUGCAGCUUUUGUGUUGAAGCUUUUGUGGGUGAAGCUUUGGGUUGAAGCUUUGUAGGUGAAGCUUUGGAGUUGAAGCUUUUGUUGGUUACCAUGAAUUGAUUUUGCUUCACAUUAUCUUGAUCAAGAUAGUGUGAAGCUUUUGUUUUGAAGCUUUGUAGGUGAAGCUUUGGAGUUAAAGCUUUGUAGGUGAAGUUUUGGAGUUGAAGCUUUGUAGGUGAAGCUUUGGAGUUGAAGCUUUUGUUGGGUACCAUGAAUUGAUUUUGCUUCACACUAUCUUGAUCAAGAUAGUGUGAAGCUUUUGAGAAUUUGUAGUUGUCCUCCAUUAAUGAAGCUUUUGUUGGUGAAGCUUUUGUGGUGAAGCUUUGUUGGGUACCAUGAAUUGAUUUUGCUUCACACUAUCUUGAUCAAGAUAGUGUGAAUCUUUUGAGAAUUUGUAGUUGUCCUCCAUUGAUGAAGCUUUUUUGAAUUUCCUAAUUUCCCUUUUUUGGGGGGGGGGGAAUUAGAAAUUUGAAAAUGUGGGAGAGACAACAUAUACAAAUUU
rnacentral:lncRNA from 1 species